UCUCCGUAGGUGAACCUGCGGAGGGAUCAUUACAGAGUUCAUGCCCUACCGGGUAGAUCUCCCACCCUAUGUUAUUAUUACUUUGUUGCUUUGGCGGGCCGUUAGGCUCCGGCCCGACUACCGGCCCCGGCUGGUAAGCGCCCGCCAGAGGACCCAAAACCCUGAAUAUUAGUGUCGUCUGAGUACUAUAUAAUAGUUAAAACUUUCAACAACGGAUCUCUUGGUUCUA
rnacentral:misc_RNA from 1 species